UACGUAGGGUGCAGGCGUUAAUCGGAAUUACUGGGCGUAAAGCGUGCGCAGGCGGUUUGCUAAGAGAGAUGUGAAAUCCCCGGGCUUAACCUGGGAACUGCCUGUCAGACUGGAAGGCUUGAGACCGGGAGAGGUGAGUGGAAUUCCCAGUGUAGCGGUGAAAUGCGUAGAUAUUGGGAGGAACACCAGUGGCGAAGGCGGCUCACUGGACCGGAACUGACGCUGAGGCGCGAAAGCGUGGGGAGCAAACAGG
rnacentral:rRNA from 1 species